GGUAUUGAAAUAAGAUUUUAAAUGAGUGCUAAGAGAAUGAUUAAACAAUUAAAAGCUUUCUUUAAUUAAAAAAUUAAAUUUAAUUUUUUUAGUGCAAAAGCAAAAAUAAAAUUUAGGGACAAGAAGACCCUAUGAAUUUUUAUUGUUAAUAAUUAAUAUUUAAGUUAUUAAUAAUUUAAUUGGGGCGAUAGAAAAAGAAUAAGUAUCUUUUUAGUUAUAAAAUAAGUUCCGUUUUUAGCGAUUAAAUGAAAUAAAUACUCUAGGGAUAACAGCGUAAUAAUUUUGGAUAGUUCAUAUAGAUAAAAUAGUUUGCGACCUCGAUGUUGGAUUAGGAUUCUUUUUUGGUGAAGAA
rnacentral:rRNA from 1 species